rnacentral:rRNA from 1 species
UACAGGGGGUGCAACCGUUGCUCGGAAUCAUUGGGCGUAAAGAGCGCGCAGGCGGUCGAUCAAGUCGCGUGUGAAAGCCCCCGGCUCAACUGGGGAGGGUCACGCGAUACUGAUCGACUCGAAGGCAGGAGAGGGUAGUGGAAUUCCCGGUGUAGUGGUGAAAUGCGUAGAUAUCGGGAGGAACACCAGUGGCGAAGGCGACACGCUGGGCCGUACCUGACACUGAUGCGCGACAGCAUGGGGAGCAAACAGG